rnacentral:lncRNA from 1 species
GUCAUUCGGUCAUCACCGUCGAACUUUAGGGUGCAUUGGAAGCAGUGGCGUAUAUAGAGGGCUGGCAGGGGCCUCGACCUCCCCUAAAAUAGAAAAUUAUCCAUGUAAUACCCAAUUUGUACCCGGCCCAUACCAGAUAAACAAAUAAAUGAAAACAGUCCAUAGAGUCCAAAUUACAAGUAGGCCCACAAGGCCCAAACCAAAACAAAGUGGUGGCCCAAAUUACAGUGGCCCGAAACAGAUGGAAAACCCUAGGGUUUCUAAGCUUCAGCCGCCGC